rnacentral:rRNA from 1 species
CCUACGGUGGCAGCAGUGAGGAAUAUUGGUCAAUGGACGGAAGUCUGAACCAGCUAUGCCGCGUGCAGGAAGACGGCUCUAUGAGUUGUAAACUGCUUUUGUACAAGGGUAAACCUGAAUACGUGUAUUCAGCUGACAGUACUGUACGACUACGGAUCGGCUAACUUCGUGCCAGCAGCCGCGGUAAUACGGAGGAUCCAAGCGUUAUCCGGAUUUAUUGGGUAUAAAGGGUGCGUAGGCGGAUUGAUAAGUUAGAGGUGAAAUGUCCGAGCUUAACACGGGAAGUGACUCGAAUACUGUUGAUCUAGAGAGUAGAUGCGGUAGGCGGAAUGGAUGGUGUAGCGGUGAAAUGCUUAGAGAUCAUACAGAACA